rnacentral:rRNA from 1 species
UUGCGCCUACGGGACGCAGCAGUGAGGAAUAUUGGUCAAUGGGCGAGAGCCUGAACCAGCCAAGUCGCGUGAGGGAGUACUGCCCUAUGGGUUGUAAACCUCUUUUGUCGGGGAGCAAAAGCCGGACGUGUCCGGCUGUGAGAGUACCCGAAGAAAAAGCAUCGGCUAACUCCGUGCCAGCAGCCGCGGUAAUACGGAGGAUGCGAGCGUUAUCCGGAUUGAUUGGGUUUAAAGGGAGCGCAGGCGGAUUUUUAAGUCAGCGGUCAAAUCGUGGGGCUCAACCCCAUCCCGCCGUUGAAACUGGG